rnacentral:rRNA from 1 species
ACGCUGGCGGCGUGCCUAACACAUGCAAGUCGAACGGGGAUUUGUUUCGGCAGAAUCCUAGUGGCGAACGGGUGAGUAACGCGUAGGCAACCUGCCCUCCGGCCGGGGACAACACUCCGAAAGGGGUGCUAAUACCGGAUACGAAGUCUGUGCCGCAUGGUACGGAUUUGAAAGAUGGCCUCUAUUUAUAAGCUAUCGCCGGGGAUGGGCCUGCGUCCGAUUAGCUGGUUGGUGGGUAACGGCCUACCAAGGCGACGAUCGGUAGCCGGUCUGAGAGGAUGAACGGCCACAUUGGGACUGAGACACGGCCCAGACUCCUACGGGAGGCAGCAGUGGGGAAUCUUCCGCAAUGGGCGCAAGCCUGACGGAGCAACGCCGCGUAGAGUGAGGAAGUUCUUCGGAACGUAAAGUUCUGUUGUUCCUGACGAACCUCCCCUCUAUCAACAACGGAGGGGACUGACGGUAGGGAACGAGGAAGCCACGGCUAACUACGUGCCAGCCGCAGC